UUGCGACUUUCCAAACAUUCGGAGGUGGUAGUCUAUUUCUUCUAGAAAACUUUGGGGGUUUCUCUGAAAGUGCAGAAAUCCCUACAAGACUCGAAAGAAGAGAACAAGCUACACUUAGCAGCAGUGAAGCAGAGCACCCAAUAAUCUGGCACAUGAAUAAAGCUCUGGAAUGGCUCCAUUCCAACAGCCAUCUGUUCAAGGGUCCAGUGGAGGAGCCUCUUUUCAUCCGAAUGGAUGAAGCUCAGAAGGAAAAAGCCCUCAACAAUCUCCGGGAAGAGACGGAAGAUUCAAAAGAGCCCUUUGUGUUUCAGUUUGAGCUCAGGGAUGACAUGGAGGUUUUUUUGCAAGAAUGCCAUAACAAAAUGGGCCUCAGAGUAAAUUCUGCAUUUGACAUAUUUUGAAGUUUAUUUACAUUUUUCUUUCUUUUAAAAUGAUUAAAAGAAUCGUUGGCUUCUUUUUUUUUCAAUUUCAUUUUUUUUAUAUUUUUGAAAUAAAAAAAUGCAUGCUGCACAUAUGUUCUUGAAAAAAUAAAGGAUGUUUUAUAUAAAAACCCAACAUAAGUUUCAAGCAUUACUUUUUUCAACAGCAUGAUCAGGAAGGAACUCUCAAAAUACAAUGAAACGGAUAACUAUACAAUUAUAUUACACAAGAUUCAUGUUUUAAAAUGCUUAUUUUACUGUAACCAUACCUUAAUGCAUCAUUAUAACAAAGUAUGACGUUUCGUGUGUAAUAAAAGCUCCAAAACCUUAAGUGGCGCUAC